rnacentral:tRNA from 1 species
GCUGACUUAGUUCAGUCGGUAGAACGCACCCAUGGUAAGGGUGAGGUGACCAGUUCGAUUCUGGUAGUCAGCUCCA